rnacentral:rRNA from 1 species
AUGUCUUCACCGCCUCCAAACCCGCCACCACCACCGCCGCCGCUGCCCAACGCCUCCCCCACCGCCGCUGCCACCGACUCCACCAACGCCGCCGCUGCGUCGCCGGGCACCACGGCCUCCCUAUCGACGCCGAUCUCCCCCGCACCCGGCACCACGCCGGGCCAGGGCCAGCCGCAACACCACAUCCAGCAACCACCUCCGUCGCCUCCCCCAGCGCCGCAGCAGUUCACACCGGAGGCCAUGGCCGGCGUGCUCAACGACCUGGUCGUCGUGGUCCAGGGCAUCCGCCUCUACUUGGCGAGCCCGUACGGGCCGCCCUCACCGCUCCAUCCGGCCGCGCCCGCUGGCCAGCAGGCGCUGUCGUGGUACUCAGUACCGGCGGCCAUCACCGGAGGCUACCCGGCGCUUCCCCCACCGGCGGCUUCGACGCCGCCUUGGCCAUAG